rnacentral:rRNA from 1 species
UACGUAGGGUGCAAGCGUUAAUCGGAAUUACUGGGCGUAAAGCGUGCGCAGGCGGUUGUGCAAGUCCGAUGUGAAAUCCCCGGGCUCAACCUGGGAACUGCGUUGGAAACUACGAGGCUGGAGUACGGCAGAGGGGGGUGGAAUUCCACGUGUAGCAGUGAAACGCGUAGAUAUGUGGAGGAACACCGAUGGCGAAGGCAGCCCCCUGGGCUAGUACUGACGCUCAUGCACGAAAGCGUGGGGAGCAAACAGG